UACGUAGGGUCCGAGCGUUGUUCGGAAUUACUGGGCGUAAAGGGCGCGUAGGCGGCCUGCUAAGUCGAACGUGAAAUCCCCGGGCUCAACCCGGGAACUGCGUCCGAUACUGGUGGGCUUGAAUCCGGGAGAGGGAUGUGGAAUUCCAGGUGUAGCGGUGAAAUGCGUAGAUAUCUGGAGGAACACCGGUGGCGAAGGCGGCAUCCUGGACCGGUAUUGACGCUGAGGCGCGAAAGCCAGGGGAGCAAACGGG
rnacentral:rRNA from 1 species